AACGAACGUUGGCGGCGCGCCUACCACAUGCAAGUCGCACGCGAAAGGGAGCAAUCCCCGGUAGAGUGGCGCACGGGUGAGUAACACGUGGAUAAUCUUCCCUUGAGCGGGGGAUAACCUUCCGAAAGGAGGGCUAAUACCGCAUGAGACCACGACCGGUACGCCGGAAGAGAUUAAAGCAGGCCUCUUCAUGAAAGCUUGCACUCGAGGAUGAGUCCGCGGCCCAUUAGCUAGUUGGUAGUGUAAAAGACUACCAAGGCUAAGACGGGUAGCUGGUCGGAGAGGGGGAUCGGCCACACUGGAACUGAGACACGGUCCAGACUCCUACGGGAGGCAGCAGUGGGGAAUUUUGCGCAAUGGGCUAACGCCUGACGCAGCAACGCCGCGUGGAGGAUGAAGGUCUUUGGAUUGUAAACUCCUGUCAGCAGGGAAAAAGCGAAUUGGCCUAACACGCCAGUGAGUUGAUUGUACCUGCAAAGGAAGCCCCGGCUAACUCUGUGCCAGCAGCCGCCGUAA
rnacentral:rRNA from 1 species